AUGGGCGCCAGUCAGAAGCUGCAGGGCGAGAUCGACCGCGUCCUCAAGAAGGUCCAGGAGGGCGUCGACGUCUUCGACAACAUCUGGAACAAGGCACGCAUGCACGUCUACGACACCGAGAAUGUGAACCAGAAGGAGAAGUUCGAGGCGGACCUCAAGAAGGAGAUCAAGAAGCUGCAGCACUACUGGGACCAGAUCAAGACCUGGAUCCAGUCCAGCGAGAUCAAGGACAAGAAGAUACCUUGGUAUGGGAUGAAGUGA
rnacentral:rRNA from 1 species